UGCUUGUGUAUAUACCUAGCUUCACUUUUUCGCGUGUUAAGAACAGAGAAGUGAAGAAAGGAAACUAGGCUCAUGGCGGUUGAACUCUGAACAUGAAAACCUUCCAGAAGACUGCAAACAAACCAGGUGGCUCUUCUGCACAAAACACUACGGCACUCAUCACAACACCCUCCUUGAAGUCACCCCGGGGAGAAGAAUUGGGGAGAGAGCUGGAGCCAAAAGUUUGAAGCAAAGUAAUCAAAAAUAUCCACAUUGUCUCUACGGCCCCACGCCUACACCUCUUGCCCCGCCCCGCCCCGUCUCUCCCUGCCUCGCUCCGCCCCGUCCCCGUCCCAGCCCUUCACCCCGACGG